UACGUAGGGUGCAAGCGUUGUCCGGAAUUAUUGGGCGUAAAGAGCUCGUAGGCGGUUUGUCGCGUCUGCUGUGAAAACCCGGGGCUCAACUCCGGGCUUGCAUUCGAUACGGGCAGGCUAGAGUUCGGUAGGGGAGUCUGGAAUUCCUGGUGUAGCGGUGAAAUGCGCAGAUAUCGGGAGGAACACCAGUGGCGAAGGCGAUCACCUGGGGUUGUUCUGACGCUGAGGAGCGAAAGCUAGGGGAGCAAACAGG
rnacentral:rRNA from 1 species